rnacentral:rRNA from 1 species
UACAGAGGUGGCAAGCGUUGUUCGGAAUUACUGGGCGUAAAGGGCGCGUAGGCGGCCUUCUAAGUCGGACGUGAAAGCCCCAGGCUUAACCUGGGAACUGCGUCCGAUACUGGGAGGCUUGGAUUCGGGAGAGGGAUGUGGAAUUCCAGGUGUAGCGGUGAAAUGCGUAGAUAUCCGGAGGAACCCCAGAGGCGAAGGCGGCGCUCUGGCUCGCAACUGACGCUCAGACACGACAGCAUGGGGAGCGAACGGG